rnacentral:lncRNA from 1 species
CUAGGGUAGGGUAGCGAUAGGUGAACUGACUCAACCAUUACAGCCAAGGGGGUAAAGCGAAUGGACCCCAGAGCGACUCUGUCUGGAGAAGGCAGGUUGAUGUUCUCAUGGUCUGAAGGGAAGUGAACUUACCCUGAUGGACACUGAAUGGAGAAAGAAACGAAGGGGGAAGACACGGAGGGAUUCUGGGUAGCCACGCCACACUAGUGAACAGGUGCACAGAUGGGGAACUCUCUCAAUUGACGGUCAUAUCCAUUAUGUAUCGCCCCACAGGAUGGGGAAGUGAGGGAAUGGACAGAGGAACUGCAAGUUCACAGUUGCACGCUUCUCCCAUCUGAAGAGAGAAAACAGAAGCCCUUUUCCUGUGAGGUCAAGAACUAAAGUGUUCCCAGCUUGGAGGAUUCCUGUAUGCCAUGCAUGGGCCUACAGAGCGCCCCCCUGUGGAUAUUUUGAGUGUUGCUAUUAAGAGCUAACCUAAUGGCUCCUUUUGUCCUUUCCCUUCGUGGGCUUGGUGGCCACCUUCUUUGAGAGUCUCUUCCUGCAGUGUGUCUCUCCUCUUCUCACAGUGUCAAGCCUUCAUCCUUUUUCUACCUGCUGUCAGAACCCUGCAUGGCUUCCUCUCAGGCUCUGGAUCACUGUCACUGU